GUUGUAUAGUCAAGUAAUUAAGUGCAUGUGGUGGAUGCCUUGGCAGUCAGAGGCGAUGAAAGACGUGAUAGCCUGCGAAAAGCUCCGGGGAGGCGGCAAAUAUCCUUUGAUCCGGAGAUGUCUGAAUGGGGGAACCCACCUACUUUAAGGUAGGUAUUGCAACAUGAAUACAUAGUGUUGCAAGGCGAACGAGGGGAAGUGAAACAUCUCAGUACCCUUAGGAAAAGAAAUCAAUUGAGAUUCCCUCAGUAGCGGCGAGCGAACGGGGAUCAGCCCAUUAAGUUAUGUGUGUUUUAGUGGAACGCUCUGGGAAGUGCGAACGUAGAGGGUGAUAUUCCCGUACACGAAAGGGCACACAUAAUGAUGACGAGUAGGGCGAGGCACGUGAAACCUUGUCUGAAUAUGGGGGGACCAUCCUCCAAGGCUAAAUACUCCUGACUGACCGAUAGUGAACCAGUACCGUGAGGGAAAGGCGAAAAGAACCCCUGUGAGGGGAGUGAAAUAGAUCCUGAAACCGCAUGCAUACAAGCAGUGGGAGCACCUUUGUGGUGUGACUGCGUACCUUUUGUAUAAUGGGUCAGCGACUUAUAUUCAGUAGCGNNNNNNNNNNNNNNNNNNNNNNNNNNNNNNNNNNNNNNNNNNNNNNNNNNNNNNNNNNNNNNNNNNNNNNNNNNNNNNNNNNNNNNNNNNNNNNNNNCGAGGUUAACCGUAUAGGGGAGCCGUAGAGAAAUCGAGUCUUAAUAGGGCGUUUAGUUGCUGGGUAUAGACCCGAAACCAGGCGAUCUAUCCAUGAGCAGGUUGAAGGUUGGGUAACACUAACUGGAGGACCGAACCCACUGUCGUUGAAAAGCCAGGGGAUGACUUGUGGAUAGGGGUGAAAGGCUAAUCAAGCCUGGUGAUAGCUGGUUCUCCCCGAAAGCUAUUUAGGUAGCGCCUCGGACGAAUACCAUAGGGGGUAGAGCACUGUUUCGGCUAGGGGGUCAUCCCGACUUACCAAACCGAUGCAAACUCCGAAUACCUAUGAGUACUAUCCGGGAGACAGACUGCGGGUGCUAACGUCCGUAGUCAAGAGGAAAACAAUCCAGACCGCCAGCUAAGGCCCCAAAAUCAUAGUUAAGUGGGAAACGAUGUGGGAAGGCAUAGACAGCUAGGAGGUUGGCUUAGAAGCAGCCACCCUUUAAAGAAAGCGUAAUAGCUCACUAGUCGAGUCGGCCUGCGCGGAAGAUGUAACGGGGCUAAAACUAUGUGCCGAAGCUGCGGAUGUAUACUUUGUAUACGUGGUAGGGGAGCGUUCUGUAAGCCGAUGAAGGUGUGUUGAGAAGCAUGCUGGAGGUAUCAGAAGUGCGAAUGCUGACGUGAGUAACGACAAAACGGGUGAAAAACCCGUUCGCCGAAAGACCAAGGGUUCCAGUCCAACGUUAAUCGGGGCUGGGUGAGUCGACCCCUAAGGCGAGGCCGAAAGGCGUAGUCGAUGGGAAAAUGGUUAAUAUUCCAUUACUUCUGUGUAAUGCGAUGAGAGGACGGAGAAGGCUAAAUCAGCCUGGCGUUGGUUGUCCAGGUGAAAGGAUGUAGGCAUGUAUCUUAGGCAAAUCCGGGGUACUCUAUGCUGAGAUCUGAUAGCAAGCUGUACUUGUACAGCGAAGUGGUUGAUGCCAUGCUUCCAGGAAAAGUCUCUAAGCUUCAGUUACACAGGAAUCGUACCCGAAACCGACACAGGUGGUCAGGUCGAGUAGACCAAGGCGCUUGAGAGAACUCUGCUGAAGGAACUAGGCAAAAUGGUACCGUAACUUCGGGAGAAGGUACGCUGUUGUUGGUGAUGGAACUCGCUUCCUGAGCUGACGACAGCCGCAGAAACCAGGCCGCUGCAACUGUUUAUUAAAAACAUAGCACUCUGCAAACACGAAAGUGGACGUAUAGGGUGUGAUGCCUGCCCGGUGCUGGAAGGUUAAUUGAUGGGGUUAGCGUAAGCGAAGCUCUUGAUCGAAGCCCCAGUAAACGGCGGCCGUAACUAUAACGGUCCUAAGGUAGCGAAAUUCCUUGUCGGGUAAGUUCCGACCUGCACGAAUGGCAUAAUGAUGGCGGCGCUGUCUCCAGCAGAGGCUCAGUGAAAUCGAAAUCGCUGUGAAGAUGCAGUGUACCCGCGGCUAGACGGAAAGACCCCGUGAACCUUUACUGCAGCUUGACACUGAACUUUGACCUUACUUGUGUAGGAUAGGUGGGAGGCUUUGAAGCUGGAACGCUAGUUCCAGUGGAGCCGUCCUUGAAAUACCACCCUGGUAAUGUUGAGGUUCUAACUCUGUCCCGUGAUCCGGGACGAGGACCGUGUCUGGUGGGUAGUUUGACUGGGGCGGUCUCCUCCUAAAGAGUAACGGAGGAGUACGAAGGUGCGCUCAGCGUGGUCGGAAAUCACGCGUAGAGUAUAAAGGCAAAAGCGCGCUUAACUGCGAGACCCACAAGUCGAGCAGGUACGAAAGUAGGUCUUAGUGAUCCGGUGGUUCUGUAUGGAAGGGCCAUCGCUCAACGGAUAAAAGGUACUCUGGGGAUAACAGGCUGAUACCGCCCAAGAGUUCAUAUCGACGGCGGUGUUUGGCACCUCGAUGUCGGCUCAUCUCAUCCUGGGGCUGAAGCAGGUCCCAAGGGUAUGGCUGUUCGCCAUUUAAAGAGGUACGCGAGCUGGGUUUAGAACGUCGUGAGACAGUUCGGUCCCUAUCUACCGUGGGCGCUGGAAAUUUGAGAGGAUCUGCUCCUAGUACGAGAGGACCAGAGUGGACGAACCUCUGGUGUACCGGUUGUGACGCCAGUCGCAUCGCCGGGUAGCUAUGUUCGGAAGGGAUAACCGCUGAAAGCAUCUAAGCGGGAAGCCUACCUCAAGAUAAGAUUUCCCUAGGACUUUAUGUCCUCUAAAGAGCCGUUCGAGACUAGGACGUUGAUAGGUUGGAUGUGGAAGCAUAGUGAUAUGUGAAGCUGACCAAUACUAAUUGCUCGUGAGGCUUGACUAUACAACACCCAAGCAGUUG
rnacentral:rRNA from 1 species